rnacentral:rRNA from 1 species
UACGAAGGGGGCUAGCGUUGCUCGGAAUCACUGGGCGUAAAGGGUGCGUAGGCGGGUCUUUAAGUCAGGGGUGAAAUCCUGGAGCUCAACUCCAGAACUGCCUUUGAUACUGAGGAUCUUGAGUUCGGGAGAGGUGAGUGGAACUGCGAGUGUAGAGGUGAAAUUCGUAGAUAUUCGCAAGAACACCAGUGGCGAAGGCGGCUCACUGGCCCGAUACUGACGCUGAGGCACGAAGCGUGGGAGCAACAGG